rnacentral:rRNA from 1 species
GGCAGCAGUAGGGAAUCUUCCGCAAGGCAGCAAGCGGAAUCGAGCACAGCCGGGGGAAUCAAGAAGGCGCUCGGCUUGUGGGGCAAUGCGGGUCCUCAGCAGCCGCGGUAAUACGGGAGCCAGCAGCCGCGGUAAUACGGAGACAACGCACAUAGCCC